GCGGGAGUAUUUCAACUUUUAGAAUAUAUUCCUUCCCGGAAUGAGAUAUAGGUGCAAGUCCUAUCUUCCGCUCCA
rnacentral:tRNA from 1 species